CACAAGAUGGCGCCGAAAGCGAAGAAGGAAGCUCCUGCCCCUCCUAAAGCCGAAGCCAAAGCGAAGGCUUUAAAGGCCAACAAGGCAGUGUUGAAAGGUGUCCACAGCCACAAAAAAAAGAAGAUCCGCACGUCACCCACCUUCCGGCGGCCCAAGACACUGCGACUCCAGAGGCAGCCCAAAUAUCCUCGGAAGAGCGCCCCCAGGAGAAACAAACUGGACCACUAUGCUAUCAUCAAGUUUCCGCUGACCACUGAGUCUGCCAUGAAAAAGAUAGAAGACAACAACACACUUGUGUUCAUUGUGGAUGUUAAAGCCAACAAGCACCAGAUCAAACAGGCUGUGAAGAAGCUCUAUGACAUUGAUGUGGCCAAGGUCCCCUGAUUCGGCCUGAUGGAGAGAAGAAGGCAUAUGUUCGACUGGCUCCUGAUUACGAUGCUUUGGAUGUUGCCAACAAAAUUGGGAUCAUCUAA